UGGGGAUAUGCUCAGUGGUAGAGUGCUUGCCUAGCAUGCAUGAGGCCCUGGGUUUGAUCCCCAGCACUGCAA
rnacentral:tRNA from 1 species